rnacentral:rRNA from 1 species
CCUACGGGAGACAGCAGUGAGGAAUAUUGGUCAAUGGGCGGAAGCCUGAACCAGCCAAGUAGCGUGCAGGAUGACGGCCCUACGGGUUGUCAACUGCUUUUAUACGGGAAUCACGCGCCUUACGUGUAGGGCUUUGCAUGUACCGUAUGCAUAAUGACCGGCUAAUUCCGUGCCAGCAGCCGCGGUAAUACGGAAGGUCCGGGCGUUAUCCGGAUUUAGUGGGUUUAAAGGGAGCGUAGGCCGCAUGUCAAGCGUGCUGUGAAAUGUCCGGGCUCAACCCGGGCCUUGCAGCGCGAACUGGCGUGCUUGAGUCCGCGGAAAGUAGGCGGAAGUCGUGGUGUAGCGGUGAAAUGCUUAGAUAUGACGAAGAACCCCGAUUGCGAAGGCAGCUUGCUGCAGCGGAACUGACGCUGAUGCUCGAAAGCGCGGGUAUCGAACAGGAUUAGAUACCCGGGUAGUC